GGCGGCACGCCUAACCAUGCAAGUCGAGCGGAACGACACUAACAAUCCUUCGGGUGCGUUAAUGGGCGUCGAGCGGCGGACGGGUGAGUAAUGCCUAGGAAAUUGCCUUGAUGUGGGGGAUAACCAUUGCGAAACGAUGGCUAAUACCGCAUGAUGCCUACGGGCCAAAGAGGGGGACCUUCGGGCCUCUCGUCGUCAAGAUAUGCCUAGGUGGGAUUANCUAGUUGGUGAGGUAAUGGCUCUCCAAUGCGACGAUCCCUACUGGUCUUACUAGAUGAUCAGCCUCAUUGNAUUUGAUACAUGGUCCAUACUCCUACGGGAGGCUNCUAUUGGGGAAUAU
rnacentral:rRNA from 1 species